rnacentral:rRNA from 1 species
CCUACGGGAGGCUGCAGUGGGGGAUAUUGCACAAUGGGGGGAACCCUGAUGCAGCGACGCCGCGUGGGUGAAGAAGCGCCUCGGCGCGUAAAGCCCUGUCAGCCGGGCAGCAAAUGACGGUACCUGAAGAAGAAGCCCAGGAUAACUAAGUGCCAGCAGCCGCGGUAAGACGUCGGGGGCAAGCGUUAUCCGGAUUUACCGGGUGUAAAGGGGGCGCAGACGGCGAGGCCAGCCAGGAGUUAAAGCCCGGGGCCCAACCCCGGGACUGCGCUUGAAACUGCGUGGCUGGAGUGCAGGAGGGGCAGGCGGAAUGCCUGGGGUAGCGGUGAAAUGCGUAGAUAUCAGGAGGAACACCGGUGGCGAAGGCGGCCUGCUGGACUGCAACUGACGUUGAGGCCCGAAAGCGUGGGUAGCAAACAGGAUUAGAUACCCUUGUAGUC